AACAACGAUUAUCAAGUUCCUGUACACUCUCAGAUGUGGAUGGUGACUCUGCUAGUAAUUCAAACUCAGCAUUUCAUGGAGGAUGGUUGUGCUCAUGAUGUUCUUUCUGGAGGUUCAACACUACAUACCGCACUUUAUAAUUUAACUGGAAUUGAGAUGAAGGCCAGUGACAUGACAACUGUGACCUAAGAAAUGGGAAGAUUAUCCUUCAAGAUAGCUGCCUAGAAUUGUUCAACAGUGAGUAACUUCCAAAAGCCAAAAGAGUUUGGCCUCAUGAGGCAAGGUGACUGACUCAAUGGCUUCUUGAAUCUCAGCAGCUCCGCCAUCUUGAAGAAUGAUUGAUUUUUCAAACACUGACCCAAGAACUGCUAUCAGGGUGCAAGUAUCUUACUAGUUAGCCUAAGGACGGGAAAAUAUCACUUCCUAAUAUGCCAUCUUUCAACAGUAUUUCCUACAGCUAAAGCCUCAGGCCAUUGCCUAAUUAACAAUGAAGAUUUCAUGGGCGUCCUACACUUCAGGAUUACUUGACUAUCCCAAACACAUAAAUCAAAAUGGGCUAAGUAGCAAAUCUUGAUGAAUUUCCACUCUUACCAUCCAUUCUUACUACAGACAAUAUAACUGAACAUGUGAUUAGAGUGACCUAUAUUAAUGUUUAGUUAUUUUUGGUUGAGUCCUAAAUAUUUCAGAAGGCUACUUAACAUGUAAGAUACCAACUUCAACACUGUAAUAACAUAUACUGUGAAAACAUUCCUAAAACAUAACCAAAGGGUUUACUAACUCUGCUUCAACAUCCAACAACACAAAACCGUAUGAUUUUUAAAAUCAUGAAACAGAGAAAGCAAAGCAUAUUUUUACAUCAAUUUGUAUCCUAUCAUACUUCAUAAUAUAUAUUUGUAUAUUCAAAUUGCUAUUUUAUAGGCCCAAGAUGUGUUUCUCUAAACAUUACAUUCUCAUUGCCAAGUGCCAACUGUUAGACAUGGAGAGGAAAUGAUUCCUUAUAUUAAACCUGACCAGAGGUUUUGCCUUGUAGGAAUUUAUUUUUCCCAUAGUGUGUCAGUUGUUAUCCCACAAUAACAACAAUAAUAAUGACCUUAAUGUCCAAGGUACUUUGUCAUUUACAGUCCUUUAACAUCUGUUAUACCAUGUGAUGCCCCUGAACGCCCCAUUGGGCUAUUGUCUGUGUAUUCUGCUAUCUCUUUAGCAGAUGAUCUGUAAUUUGGUCAUUGUUCUGUUAUAUUCCAGAUUGCUCUACUUGCCAAUAUUUGUAUAGAAUAGAAUUUAUGUAAACUAGUAACCAGUUGAUCUCUGUGCCAAAUACAUUAUAUCAGGAUUACACAAAAAUAUCACAAAGGAUGGUCUUGGCCAUAUGCUACGACCCCUGUGAAAAUAAGUAGUUUCGAGUAGUUUUUCUAUAUACAUAUAUAUACGUGUGAUUCUAUUUAGGCGGGGAAAGAUGAAAAAGCAGGGACAACAGGAGGAAAUGAAGGCAGAGAAAUAUAGUUUCCUGUCCUAGGGUGGAGACAAUUCUAUUUUUCAUAUACUCAUUGCUCAUUAAAUAUUAAAGGGUUGAUUUGCUGAGAGAGUAGCUGAGAGUUCAAAAACAUCCUUGCAGAAUGAUUCAAAAGACAAAAGCCAGGCUCAACUUACAGAGUGUUUUGGAGACUGGAAGUAAUGAUACAUUUCACUUCAGAAGCACUUGUAGGUAUUUACUAGUGCUAAGUAUUAUGGUGAGCUAUCAUUAAAAUGUGCCGUCUUGGAUAAAGGCCUUUUGCCUGCUGUCUUCUGCCAUUUUGAUACCUCAAUAUUCACACCCAUAAAAAUUACUAAGCCCCAGUUCUAUCCUCGGAAGGAGUUGUUAUUCUGUUGUUGUUCCCUUAUGCAAUUUUUAAUUCUAUGAAUGUUAAGUUUUUUUGAACUAAUGAUAGAUAGAAAUGCCUACUGAAAGAAAAAUAAACAGAGACAAAUGUUAAAAUUGCCAUACAGACUGUUUUUCCCCCUGUUGUUUCACCUUAAAAUAAAAAGAAAACCUUGAUUAAUCA
rnacentral:lncRNA from 1 species